GGCAGACGGGUGAGUAACAUGUGGGUAUCUGCCCUUUGGCCUGGAAUAACACGAGGAAACUUGUGCUAAUACCGGAUAAGUCUUUACGGAGAAAGCUUUAUGCACCAUUGGAUGAGCCCGCACUUGAUUAGUUUGUUGGUGGGGUAAUGGCCUGCCAAGACUGUGAUCAAUAGCUGAUUUGAGAGGAUGAUCAGCCACAUUGGGACUGAGACACGGCCCAAACUCCUACGGGAGGCAGCAGUGGGGAAUCUUGCACAAUGGAGGAAACUCUGAUGCAGCGAUGCCGCGUGAGUGAAGAAGGCCCUUGGGUUGUAAAGCUCUUUCGUCGGGGGAGAAAAUGACUGUACCCGAAUAAGAAGGUCCGGCUAACAUCGUGCCAGCAGCCGCGGUAAUACGAAGGGACCUAGCGUAGUUCGGAAUUACUGGGCUUAAAGAGUUCGUAGGUGGUUGAAAAAGUUAGUGGUGAAAUCCCAGAGCUUAACUCUGGAACUGCCAUUAAAACUUUUCAGCUAGAGUAUGAUAGAGGAAAGCAGAAUUUCUAGUGUAGAGGUGAAAUUCGUAGAUAUUAGAAAGAAUACCAAUUGCGAAGGCAGCUUUCUGGAUCAUUACUGACACUGAGGAACGAAAGCAUGGGUAGCGAAGAGGAUUACAUACCCUCGUAGUCCAUGCCGUAAACGAUGUGUGUUAGACGUUGGAAAUU
rnacentral:rRNA from 1 species